CCUACGGGUGGCAGCAGUGGGGGAUAUUGCACAAUGGGGGAAACUCUGAUGCAGCGACGCCGCGUGGGCGACGAAGUAUUUCGGUAUGUAAAGCCCUAUCAGCAGGGAAGAAGAAAUGACUGUACCUGAGUAAGAAGCACCGGCUAAAUACGUGCCAGCAGCCGCGGUAAUACGUAUGGUGCAAGCGUUAUCCGGAUUUACUGGGUGUAAAGGGAGCGCAGGCGGCACGGCAAGCUUGAUGUGAAAGCCCGCGGCCCAACCGCGGGACUGACUUGGGAACUGCCGGGCUUGAGUGCAGGAGAGGUAGGCGGAAUGCCUAGUGUAGCGGUGAAAUGCGUAGAUAUUAGGAGGAACACCAGUGGCGAAGGCAGCCUACUGGACGGUGACUGACGCUGAGGCUCGAAAGCGUGGGGAGCAAACAGGAUUAGAUACCCCAGUAGUC
rnacentral:rRNA from 1 species